CGGUGUCCAUUUGUUCCCCACCAGACAAAACGACAUGAUAAGCACAUUAAACGUCGUUAUCCUGUCGGCAUCUCUCUAGUGUACUUAAACCAAUACAAACUUUAUUCUUCUCCGUGUGUGACCAGCUCAAAGUAAAGACUUCAGUGUUUGUGACCAGCAAGGACACGUUUGGAGUACGUUACAGCUGAACAAAACCGGGGAGAGUCAGGAAGCUGUACGAAACCGCCCCGCGAAAGUAAACUAACGUACAACAACUCCCUGUAUGUUGGCACCUCUUGAAGAGGUGAUGAAUGGCUUCCUCUAUUGUUCAGAUGGACCAAUGGAGAAGCGGGACUGGACCGACGCCCACCGCCUUGCCCCUCACGUGACCUAAGAUUUUUGGCGGGAGAUGAACAAGGGCGCAAGGUCAAGUUAGGUAUUGUUGUUCCCUGACCCCUGUGACACGUGCACCUACACCCGCCCUGUCUGCAGGCGGCGACAUCAAAGGGACAGAACAGGGUGGGAUAAGAGGGGGAGUCACACCUCUGCUUACACGGUAAAUCUUGUUAGGAAACUAUUUAUCAGGUUUAAUGCUGUAGUUUGUGUGCUCUCGCGUUGGUCGCCACAUCAGCCUGUGGACACAGCGUCCGAAAAUGUUUGCGUCGACGUGGCACACAAAACAGACCUCUGGACUCUGGACUCAUACGACACGACAAUCACAAUUUGAAGACCGGGUUUAGCUUGUAAGUUUGCAUAUAACGCUUUGUACACGGCAAUUGGGUUACGCAACAUGGUAUACACAACUUCUUAAGGGGUGCAAAUAAAAACGUUGUCUCUGACUCAGUUUCUGAAUUCUGAUCAUUGGAUACUUUUAUAUUGUGCUGAAGUACAACGUAAGUAACGAGGUACCAUAGUUCCAACCACAAAGUAUGAUACAACGUUUACAUACUAUUCACAAGAUGAGUUGGAGUGAAAUUUCUCAACACAACAACUUUCUUGACCCUUAAGAUACAUCUUCCCACUCCCAGACAUCGCGAUCGGCCAACACUAACUACACAGUUCCCAUAGUAUCAUCGGUCAGUCGUCACAGGUACACGCCCCCCUCCCACGCUCCAGUCCAGGUAACCCGGCAACAUCGGAUGGCGCCAGGUACGCACCAAGAGCCUCGGCAAAUAAACCUCGUCAAAAAUUAACGCUAACGUAAGAUCUAGAUAUCAAGGGUCAGUAAGUUGAGACAUUUCAAUGUAAGUUUGUUCGCGAUGUUUUGGUGUACAGGCCCAAUACGACAUAGACUAUACGAGUAUAUAUAACUGAGGGGACAGAGUGGUGGGGCAGUCGUGAAUGUGUCGUACAAAAUUCAGCUAUUUUGUGACACAAAAGUAUGUCGUAUCACCCUUGCCGAUUGUCGGUUCUGACUCCUAGCCUCACUG